rnacentral:rRNA from 1 species
AUUGAACGCUGGCGGCAGGCCUAACACAUGCAAGUCGAACGGUAACAGGAAACAGCUUGCUGUUUCGCUGACGAGUGGCGGACGGGUGAGUAAUGUCUGGGAAACUUCCUGAUGGAGGGGGAUAACUACUGGAAACGGUAGCUAAUACCGCAUAACGUCGCAAGACCAAAGAGGGGGACCUUCGGGCCUCUUGCCAUCGGAUGUGCCCAGAUGGGAUUAGCUAGUAGGUGGGGUAACGGCUCACCUAGGCGACGAUCCCUAGCUGGUCUGAGAGGAUGACCAGCCACACUGGAACUGAGACACGGUCCAGACUCCUACGGGAGGCAGCAGUGGGGAAUAUUGCACAAUGGGCGCAAGCCUGAUGCAGCCAUGCCGCGUGUAUGAAGAAGGCCUUCGGGUUGUAAAGUACUUUCAGCGGGGAGGAAGGGAGUAAAGUUAAUACCUUUACUCAUUGACGUUACCCGCAGAAGAAGCACCGGCUAACUCCGUG